CUUUAGAAAGGGUAGUGCAUGCAACAGAAUCUUUAAAGAGAUUAAAAAAUUAUAUCUGGGUGUGCACUUGAACCUUUAUUUUCUCUGGAAGGAACUCUGUAAAUAGUUUCCAAAUGAAAGUAAAGCUAAGAUACAAACAUGGAGCUCUCUAGAAUUGGAUGUGUGUGACUGUGAUCAAGUUGCAAUCCCUGAAUCCAGAUGCUUUCCAUUUGUGGUCUGGCAUAGAUCUUCCUCACAGAAAGAAGACUAAAAUGAUUUUCAACAAAAUAAAGAGAUUCUUGUAUUCUGAAUUGUAGGGUUUUUUUAAACACUAACUUUUUUUACUUAAUUUUGUUUGUUUGUUUGUUUUGAAAACUGUUUUGUAGCAACUCUACUCACCACUGGUUGAGUCGCCACCUUCUGCCUUUCCCACUCGGCCAGCUGGGAGCUGAAGGAAUUUUCUUCUGGCUACUUCCUUCAUGUUGAUGACAACACUCAUUACUUCCACACACCUGCUUUGAAAAGAAAGUCAUUUUAGGAAUCAAACACGCUACAACAAAAAUGCUCUGUUUUGUCUGACUUUAUGGAAGAACAUUUUAAAUAAAAGCCACAUUGGGAUAAAUAUACAGUCACGUGCAAGGGUCACUAGCUGUCACUAACAUACCUUUACUUUAAAGAAUCAAAUUAUCUCUUUCAGGCUUUUGGUUAAAUUGGGUUUCAGCAAGCAUUGGUGGAGAAAAUCACACUUGCUCUGGCUGCCCAUGAACAACGUGCACCUCUCCAAACCUUUAUCAGCCUCUGAAUGGAGAUGACCUCAUUUUCCUCCCCUCUGUCUCUUUCCCUCUAGUUGGUGCUCUCAGACUCUGCCUUACACCAUCCCCACAAGCCUCACUGCAAAAUCCAUCACAUGUUUGGCUCCCUUUUUUCACUUCCUGCGGUCCUUCACAGAUUCCUGGCAGGAAGGGAACAAGUUUUUGACUCCCUCACCCUGGAGUUCUGUCAGUUCUUACAGCUGUGUUCAAACCUAAUCUCAGCCUCGGACAUACUUUUACCAUAAAAUCAUCUUUUAAAUUUCUCCACAUUAGUGCUGAUGUGAGCACCACCUCUAAGCAAGCUCACCUGGAGAUUUCCUAGGUGCUGGGGGUUGUUAUGACAUCAGAGCAAUUUCCAGGACAGCAAACCUCUGGAUUCCAUUUUACCACUCCAUUACAUGACUCAGCCACUGACGGUGUGCUGCAAUGGGUGACAAGAAGAUAAAGGGCCACUCUUAGUCAUGGCUUCUUGAAGGUCAGGCUGUUCUGCCAAAAUUAACCAGAAGGGAAUUGCUUUGUCACAGGCCAACCUGACAUUUGCAACCACAGUUUUGUCACAACCAUCAGCUUGCAAGAGAAGCAAAGGGCAAUAAAUGAACUUCCCAUCCAGGCAGCCCUGCUGGUAUUUCCAGGUGACGUGUGCUUGUGGAAGUGUCCCCGUUUCAAAGGCAGCUUUCCAGAUUUUCCUCUCAGCCACAAUCAGAGUUUGCAAGUGCCAAAUGUGUCAGCACACCUCAGCAUGGUCACCCACAUCAAAAGUGGCAGAGAUAUUUGGUUUCCUAGAGUCUUUAGAAAGCCUCCUUCCAAAUGCCAUCGCCUCUCUUACUCAACAAAAUGAUGGUUAAAUGUCUGAUUUGUUUUCUGUGGCAUUGAAGUAUCCAUAAUGUGAUUUACUUGACCAUGAUGGAAGGAGGUAACUGGAAAUUACUGGGCAGCUCCAUAAGCUAUGGAAGUCCUUGGGACAAGUCAAGAGAGAAAGUGCAUCAUGAUGUUCAAUUUGGCCCUGAAAGCUUAAUUAGUGUUCCUUAGCAACAGGGAAACAUCCUCAUUGACAAAACCCACUGGUUUUGGCUGAGCCUUCAAAGUGCUCACUUCACGGUCAUUUUUAAACUCCCCAAAUUCACAGCUGAGCGUUUCCAUUCCGAGUGAAAUUCAUCAACAACAACAGAAAAGAAACGUCCCCAGAGUGAUGCAUUUCUGAGGAAAAUGGGAGGUAUGAGCCCAGCUCAAACUUUGUGAUCUACAGCAGCAGCAGUUUUUUGCCUCUUAUUCCUCAAUCGAGAGAAGAAAAUGGGGCUACUUGGGUGAAGAGGAAACCAGAAACUCCAGCAAUUAAUGAAAAAGACUAUAAAUUAAAUAGAGUGAGGAAUUAAGUGAAACCAUUUGUAGAUAACUUGUGAAGUCUUUUGCCAUCAGCACCAAAGAGCUUCAGGAGGGGCUCAGAAGGCAAAGUGGACAAACAGUAAAGAAAAAUCAAAAGAUAAAAAAAGAACAUAUUUAUACAGUUCAUAAUAAUAAUACUAAUGUAUGUUUGAAGAUAUUAUUCCAUCACCAUCAGAAAUAAUGCCUGGUGGCAUACUUGUACAAAUCUGCCUAAAGCAUUUGUAAUUUUUGUGCUGUAAUAAAAUAAGAAUUAUGCUUA